rnacentral:lncRNA from 1 species
GGCACUGAGCACUGAGUGAUACAAAUGCCAUUUUUAAAGUUAUUUGAAGAGAUUUUGUCAUUAUUUCCAGCUCUUACAGGAGGCUUUUUUACCCUAAAGCUGUGGCUGUUUUCACACUUGGCUCUCCAGGUCAUGAGCAGCAGGUGACACAAAAGGACAGGACAGAGGUGACACCUCUCCUGCCUCACUCUGGGAUGCUCUGUGGGCAAGCCCAGCCCGGGCAGGACAUGGCUGCAUCCAUCCCUCAGCCACAGGAAUGGCUUUACAUCCCAAAAUCCUGCCAGGAGCAGGUUCAGGACAUGGCUGCAUCCAUCAUCCAUCAGCUACAUCCCAAAAUUCUGCCAGGAGCAGGUUCAGGACGUGGCUGCAUCCACCCCUCAGCCACAGGAACGGCUGUGCAUCCCAAAAUCCUGCCAGGAGGGGGUUCAGGACAUGCAUCCACCCCUUACCUACAGGAAUGGCUGUGCAUCCCAAAAUCCUGACAGGAGCAGGUUCAGGAUGUGGCUGCAUCCAUCCUUCACCUACAGGAAUGGCUGUACAUGCCAAAAUCCUGCCAGGAGGGGGUUCAGGACAUGGCUGCAUCCAUCAUCCAUCAGCUACAUCCCAAAAUCCUGCCAGGAGCAGGUGCUGCACAUCCCUGUGGGGUAUGGGGCAGCUCCUGGGAUGCCUCACUGGCAUCAGAGCAUCCCCAAAUCCCAUCUGCACCCCCCACGCCGCAUUAAUGGCUCGUACUUUGCUAAUUGUACAAACCUAA